rnacentral:rRNA from 1 species
CAGCCGCCGCGGUAAUACCGGCGGCCCGAGUGGCGGUCACUAUUAUUGGGCUUAAAGCGUCCGUAGCCGGGUUGGGAAGUCCUCCGGGAAAUCUGGCCGCUUAACGGUCAGAAUGCCGGAGGAUACUCCCAGCCUAGGGAGCGGGAGAGGCCGAGGGGAUUCCCGGAGUAGGGGUGAAAUCCUAUAAUCCCGGGAGGACCACCUGUGGCGAAGGCGCUCGGCUGGAACGCGUCCGACGGUGAGGGACGAAGGCCAGGGGAGCAAACCGGAUUAGAUACCCGGGUAGUCCUGGCUGUAAACGAUGCGGACUUUGUGUCGGACAAGCUAUGAGCUUGUCCGGUGCCGGAGGGAAACCGUUAAGUCCGCCGCCUGGGGAGUACGGCCGCAAGGCUGAAACUUAAAGAAAUUGGCGGG